rnacentral:tRNA from 1 species
UCCCCGCUGGCUCAGACCGUAAAGAAUCCGCCUGCAAUGCGGGAGACCUGGGUUCGAUCCCUGGGUUGGGAA